rnacentral:rRNA from 1 species
GACGAACGCUGGCGGCGUGCCUAAUACAUGCAAGUUGAGCGAUGAAGAUUGGUGCUUGCACCAAUUUGAAGAGCAGCGAACGGGUGAGUAACGCGUGGGGAAUCUGCCUUUGAGCGGGGGACAACAUUUGGAAACGAAUGCUGAUACCGCAUAAUAACUUUAAACAUAAGUUUUAAGUUUGAAAGAUGCAAUUGCAUCACUCAAAGAUGAUCCCGCGUUGUAUUAGCUAGUUGGUGAGGUAAAGGCUCACCAAGGCGAUGAUACAUAGCCGACCUGAGAGGGUGAUCGGCCACAUUGGGACUGAGACACGGCCCAAACUCCUACGGGAGGCAGCAGUAGGGAAUCUUCGGCAAUGGACGAAAGUCUGACCGAGCAACGCCGCGUGAGUGAAGAAGGUUUUCGGAUCGUAAAACUCUGUUGGUAGAGAAGAACGUUGGUGAGAGUGGAAAGCUCAUCAAGUGACGGUAACUACCCAGAAAGGGACGGCUAACUACGUG